ACCCAAGCAUCUGACAGUAAAGUUCAGGAGUGAAAAUGCCGACACACAUCAGACGGACAUCAGGAUGAAUCACUCCCUCGUGUCGAGGUUCAGAAAGAAACUAAAAAGCCUUCCUGUUGCAGAUUACUAUGGCCUCAAGAGUCCAGGUCUUACAUGUUACCUGAACAGCGUGCUUCAGGUGCUUUUCAUGACAGAAAACUUUCGCGACGCUUUGAAAAGUCCAGAUCACC